ensembl:lncRNA
CAGAGAAACACACAGUGCAGGCUGAACUCUCACAACACUGGGGCUAAGAGUGCAAAAGCAGAAGAUAGAAGCCCAAAAAGACUGAAGAAAAAGAACAUCAGAAGCAAUGGGAAUAUGGGUGGACAAGUCAGAGAGAAGAAGGAGCACUGCUGUACCCGAUUGUUAUGUUUCGUGCUAUUACAGUGCAUCCCAACAUGAUAACCAUCAUACCACGUCAGACCAAAGGUCAUUCCAGCUCAGAACCCAGUGUCUUACUGCAGCCCAGGAGAAAACAAAAGUAUGGGGAAAGCUCAUUUGCCUCAUCAGAUCAUUCCUCACUUCCCAAAGCCUGCAACGUGAGGACUUUCUGAAGGUUAUAUAUGAAGUGUCACCCUCAAAAGUACCCUGUACAAGGGUCUACGCUCUUUGCAUAGAGAGCAUCUACUUCAUUUGAUGCUCACAACAGAGCAAAUGAUUCCUUGCUGUGCACUUCCUUCAUUCUGCUCCACAGCUUCCUCACUACCACAGUCGGUUUACAAGGGAGUGCCAGAAGAGCUCUGAUAACAGGUAGUCCUAUGACAGAGUUGCCAUAACAAUUUUAUGAUGAAGACUUACGACAGAGUUCCUCAUGACAAACUCAUGUUGACAACCUUCCUCGUGGCCAUUUGUCACCCUCUAGAGGUGGCUGACAAAAGAACUGAUCAAGAAGAACUGACAAAGCCCACCAGCUGCUGUCCGCAGCCCAGCAGGAUGCCCCCAGCUCCCAGCAUAGGACCAGAGGGCCAGUUUCAGUCCCCUGGUCACACCAUCUGCAUCAUCACAGGGCAUCAUAUUUUUCACAUACAUCACACACCAAAUACUUGAGCAACUUGAAACAUGCUGUUCCUGAAACGUCCAUGAAACAAAUUCCCUCUCUACAGCUAUACAUUUAUUUAGGGGUUAUCCAUAAAUGAAUGCAACAGUGCAAACCUGACCUUUUACCCCCUAACCAACUGAGCUCCAAUGGCUAUCAUAAAACCAUUUGGUUGUUGCCUGCUAAUCUGUGAUGAUAGAUUUAAUCUCUGUAAAAAAAUACUGGGAAUGGGAGAAAGGCAGCCAAAUUACAAUUUUCUUUUAAUUAUUUAUUUUUACUUUAUUUUUUUAUUUAUUUAUUUUGCUAUGUACCAAUCUACCAGAGCACUGCAAACAGAGGGAGUGCUGAAAAUUUAUCUAUGUGGCUCAUCUUACACAGACCACUAAAAAUAGACCAAACUCUCCAGGAGAAGGAAACAAAAUCCACUUUUAUCCAUUUCUUACUUGCACUGCUGUGGUUUCUGAAAGCAUGCUCCUCAUGCACAGAAGGAAAAAACGUGCGCUGGCCCCACUGCUGAGCUAAAGGCUGUGACACUGCUCAGUGCAGCACAGUUCUCCUGCCUACUGCAAGGCCACCUCAGUUUGCACCAAUCAGAUGUUUUUCUCCUAUUUCUUGCACGUAAUCUAAAGGAAGAACUUAUACAAAACCAAAGACGUCCAUGUUCCUUGCUGUCUCUUAGUCCUAAUGCAAGAAAUCGCACUGCCUCAAAGCAAAUCUCUAGUUGAAGUGGACAGACUCAGCAGAGCCUGAACCUUCUGUCCCCACAGGCCAGUUCUGGUGCUUGUCAGAGGCCAAGCCAUCCCGUCUCCUUCUCUUUCCUGGUAUUUCAUCACAACCUUUCCUCUACUAGAAGACAGCCACGCAAACGGUGCUUGGAGCCGAGUAGAACUGUGUAACACCAGCUACCUCACACACCUCUCUCUGCCUGUUUACACAAGAUAGGAGCCUGGUCCUACGGUUUCAAAAAAAAAAAGCAGUCUGCAUCUGCUCCAUUUUCAUCAUUCUGACGAGCCAGGUCAGAACACCACUGCAAACCAGGCUCACACCUUCUCUGAAAUUGCUGCAGCAGAAAUAAUGAAACACAGUUCCAGACCUCGCUUUCUCUGGAUCACCCCUCGAUAGCAGCUUCUGAAAUUCAACAGCACUACAGCUGCUUCCACCAACAAAGGUGGUGGCACAUUUCUCUUGCUUGCAGGGGCAGCAAAGGAAAAAUGCAUUACCAGUGAGGCUUGCACCUCUACUCCCCUCUACUCACCGCAUCCAAAAACACAGAACAAAAAGAAACUCUUAAACCUUCAUAUCUGAGGUCUGAAGACAAAUAUUGAGAAGGCACCAAGCAUUUUUUCUAAUUUACAACUCGGAGGAUAAUCUCUGAAUACUCUGUUUUAUAGUGUGCUUCCACCUUCUCUGGCCCAUUUCAGAUCGAAUGCCCUUCUGAUGUGACAGAUAUGUCUCUUCCUUCUGAUGGGGUGUUUUGAAGCACUGAAGUGUGUGUUUUCUCUUCAGCUCUACAGGAACAAGCUGAGCAGUUCAAUAUUUCAGUUGCAUAUACUCUGCAUUGUUAAUUUCAGGCUUGCUUUUGAAAUCCAGAAACAAAGAACAUAACUGAGAGCCUUGCAAGGACACACCCCAUCCAGUCUGUGUGCUCCAGAGCCCAUUUUGACAUGCACAGACCUUUCAGAGAUCAUUCUGACAACAGCUUCAUCUCCACUGCUAACAGUGGACUGGGCUGUGCUGAGUUGAAUUAUUAUGCUGUCUAAUGUUUCCUUUACACCAAGCAUACCAAACAUUUUUUGACAUUGUGUAUUUCUCUCAUACAGACAAUGCUUUGCAUCUCCUGAAUUUUGUCAAGCCUCUGGGUCUGCUUUCAGCAGGGAAACUGCAUGUAGGUUCAUCCCUGCCCACACAGUCCUUCUGUUCACCAAGGCCAUGUGGCUGCCAGGGAAUAUCUACCUGCUUCCAACAAAGGUCUUUUAGCAGAGGUAAAAUGUUGGUAUGCCUUUUAUACUUGCACUAAUCAAAAUGCCACAAUAAGAAUCUCAAUUAGUAACACGAUGAAAAAGUAAUGAAGAGAAGAUCCAGUAGAUACAGAAGAUACACCUACUGCUGCCAGCUGCAGGAUACGCGCUCUCUAAUGAACCGUCGUUCGAGAUUUGCUUGGGAUGAUUAAUAAGACAUAAUGACAGAUGAUGAAUAUCUUAAGAGCAACUGCAUUCCUCCUACUUACUCUGCCAGUCUAACAGAGCUGACCUUUUCAUAAUGCCUAGUAAUUUUCAUAUUACAUCCUGAAAACAUAGCUAAAAUGAGCAUGCUGAAUUGCAAUAUGGGACCACAAGGGACACACCAAGCCAAAGAAAGGUGUUAGCAAAACAUGACAAAUUACUUAUCUGCAACUUCACAGAGCAAGGUUCAAGUCCAAUUUAAGAUUUUGAGUGAUAUAUGUUCGAUGGAUGCAGCUUAGUCACAUCAGACAGACCGGCCUGUAAUCCACUUUAUAACUGUCACACAUUAGUUUAUAAUGCUUAGGAGAGGAUUGGCAAGACAAGAAUGACACGGUAACAGAAUUACCUCUGCAACCUGCCUUACAUGCUCAGUUUAUUGAACUCAGAUCAGAAGCAGUGAGUCAGUGUACAGCACCUCGUCACAACACGGCCCCUUCAGAAACCACGUCUCACACAAUUGCACUAAAAACUUUUCUUUCCUCUUUUUUGCAUCCUGCUGGCAUUUAGAAAAGGUUGAGAAUAAACAUGGCUUGGGGAUGGAAAACUGUAUGAUUCACUCUCAGCUUGAUGGAAAAAGAAUGAGGGAGGGCAUACAUUUCACAACCCAAAAUGUUCACUUCAAAUAAAAAAAAUCAGAACUUAUUGUUUGACAAAUAUUGAAAUGAAACAUCUCCGACAUUCUGUCUUUUUGUGACAGGUUGCUUCAUGCUUUUCUUUCUUACCUGAAAUAUUAGCUGAGCCUUAUAUUAAUUUGCAAGAUAUAUCAGUUAGG